rnacentral:lncRNA from 1 species
AUUUAUGCAUAUGCGUAUCUUCGUGUGCUGAAUGUAUAAUGAGAUUAUUUAGGGCAUUUAGGAGGAUUUAGCGUUGUGCGGAUUUAAAAAUUUUAAGUUUAAUUUAGAAAAUGUUUUGGGGUUUGGUUCCACUCCAAUUUCAGUGAUUUGUUUGAAAAAAAGGGGCACAAAAAUGGAAUGGGAGGAUGUUGGUCCAAAAUUUGUUAUAAUAUAGUGGCUUGUAAACUUCCGGUGCUAAUUACUGGUAAACUGCUGGAGCUUAGGAGUGGAAUACAUGCCUUAUAUAUGAAGUCCUGUUGCAGAAGUCCUUAUGUUCAAUAUUGGUUGCAGCGUUUAUACUUUUGGUUAUGUUAUCAGUUCUUCUCUGUGGCUAACCAUUGCAUUAACUCAGAGCAACGACAAUGCUGACUAUUAUGAGUUUGUUAUAGCAUUUUCUGGUGAUUAUUGAAUUAUAUUGAGAAUGAAUAAUGAAGCAAGAAAAUAUGAGAGUUGACAUCUUAACGUGUAUGGAAUUGGUCCGCUUAAGUUUGAUAUCACUUGCAGUUAAUGCAGAUAGUAUUUUCAUCUCAUACAUGAGCAGAUGAAAUUUAAUGGAAAAAUAUUUUCAUCUUGUACCGUAAAAUGAUGUGCACAUUCUUAGAUUUCUAGCUUGACAGUGAGAAAAAUUGUCUUUCUAUAAUU